GGGUUGUGAGGUUAAGCGACUAAGCGUACACGGUGGAUGCCCUGGCAGUCAGAGGCGAUGAAGGGCGUGCUAAUCUGCGAUAAGCGCCGGUAAGGUGAUAUGAACCGUUAUAACCGGCGAUACCCGAAUGGGGAAACCCAGUGUGACUCGUCACACUAUCAUUAACUGAAUCCAUAGGUUAAUGAGGCGAACCGGGGGAACUGAAACAUCUAAGUACCCCGAGGAAAAGAAAUCAACCGAGAUUCCCCCAGUAGCGGCGAGCGAACGGGGAGGAGCCCAGAGCCUGAAUCAGCAUGUGUGUUAGUGGAAGCGUCUGGAAAGGCGCGCGAUACAGGGUGACAGCCCCGUACACAAAAGCGCAUGUGCUGUGAGCUCGAUGAGUAGGGCGGGACACGUGGUAUCCUGUCUGAAUAUGGGGGGACCAUCCUCCAAGGCUAAAUACUCCUGACUGACCGAUAGUGAACCAGUACCGUGAGGGAAAGGCGAAAAGAACCCCGGCGAGGGGAGUGAAAAAGAACCUGAAACCGUGUACGUACAAGCAGUGGGAGCCCCACCACCAAAGCAUUCUCUGGUGUUGAAGGCCCUGCAAAGCAGCAUCGCGGUGGCGGAGCGUCGUUUGCGACGCCCAACACACAAAACAAGCGGUGAAUGCUUUGGGGUGGGGUGACUGCGUACCUUUUGUAUAAUGGGUCAGCGACUUAUAUUCUGUAGCAAGGUUAACCGAAUAGGGGAGCCGGAGGGAAACCGAGUCUUAAUUGGGCGUUAAGUUGCAGGGUAUAGACCCGAAACCCGGUGAUCUAGCCAUGGGCAGGUUGAAGGUUGGGUAACACUAACUGGAGGACCGAACCGACUAAUGUUGAAAAAUUAGCGGAUGACCUGUGGCUGGGGGUGAAAGGCCAAUCAAACCGAGAGAUAGCUGGUUCUCCCCGAAAGCUAUUUAGGUAGCGCCUCGUGAAUUCAUCUCCGGGGGUAGAGCACUGUUUCGGCUAGGGGGCCAUCCCGGCUUACCAACCCGAUGCAAACUGCGAAUACCGGAGAAUGUUAUCACGGGAGACACACGGCGGGUGCUAACGUCCGUCGUGAAGAGGGAAACAACCCAGACCGCCAGCUAAGGUCCCAAAGUCAUGGUUAAGUGGGAAACGAUGUGGGAAGGCCCAGACAGCCAGGAUGUUGGCUUAGAAGCAGCCAUCAUUUAAAGAAAGCGUAAUAGCUCACUGGUCGAGUCGGCCUGCGCGGAAGAUGUAACGGGGCUAAACCAUGCACCGAAGCUGCGGCAGCGACGCUGAUGCGUUGUUGGGUAGGGGAGCGUUCUGUAAGCCUGCGAAGGUGACCUGUGAGGGUUGCUGGAGGUAUCAGAAGUGCGAAUGCUGACAUAAGUAACGAUAAAGCGGGUGAAAAGCCCGCUCGCCGGAAGACCAAGGGUUCCUGUCCAACGUUAAUCGGGGCAGGGUGAGUCGACCCCUAAGGCGAGGCCGAAAGGCGUAGUCGAUGGGAAACGGGUUAAUAUUCCCGUACUUGGUGUUACUGCGAAGGGGGGACGGAGAAGGCUAUGUUGGCCGGGCGACGGUUGUCCCGGUUUAAGCGUGUAGGUGUGUGUUCCAGGUAAAUCCGGUUCACUUUAACACUGAGGCGUGAUGACGAGGCACUACGGUGCUGAAGCAACAAAUGCCCUGCUUCCAGGAAAAGCCUCUAAGCAUCAGGUAACAUCAAAUCGUACCCCAAACCGACACAGGUGGUCAGGUAGAGAAUACCAAGGCGCUUGAGAGAACUCGGGUGAAGGAACUAGGCAAAAUGGUGCCGUAACUUCGGGAGAAGGCACGCUGACACGUAGGUGAAGUGAUUUACUCA
rnacentral:rRNA from 1 species